rnacentral:lncRNA from 1 species
AUUGGUGUAGCUGAUAAAUGUUUUGGUAAAUAGUUUGCGAGCUUAUACAUUUUUUGAUUAUUGGUCUGUUUUGCUGACAAAUGGAUUGAUACUUAGUGUGAGUAAAUAUGUCGUUUGUUAAAUGAUAUUUUAUCUUAUACAUGUUUGUUAUGCAGUAUAUGUUUUGUUGGGUGACACGACGUUUGAUAUCGAUGAUUGAGUAAAGGAGAAGAUUAAAAUUUUUGAAAAAUGGUGGCAAUGAUAAGAUAUAAAAAAAUAGGAGGAAAAAGAAUUGAGAAAUAGGAAAUAAAAGAGGAAAGAGAAUGAAAAAGUGUAAGAGAAAAGAUAGUGUAUCAAUGUGUAUUAUUAUUUUAAUAUACUACAUGUUUUUUGAUAUAUUGUUGUUAAGUAUCAUCUAAGAGAACAUAUAAUAAACAAUAUAUUAAUUAACAAAUUAUCUAUCAAACAAUGUAUCAAUUAACAAAACAUGUAUCAUCUAAAAAAUUAUGUAUCUA